GGCUUCUGUCAUUAACUUUUGAUAUCUUCAAAACCAGGCUGGUGACAUUCUUCAGACAAGAAGGAAGAUGAGAGGAUUGUGCAAGAGGCAGCCAAAUCAUUUAGUGCAUUAAGCAACAAUUGAAACUCCAGGACUCAUAUUCUAAUGAAGACUGAAGCAAUGGGAGAAUUGAUACAGCUGGAAGCUAAGGGUGCUCAGCUUUCCCUCUGGAGUGUGUUUGCAAUCUAGGCCUAGAAGCUCAUCUGUGCUGGGGACUCGGACAUGAGCCAGCUGGAAGUUGCCUGCGGUCAGUAGUCAAGGUGGCUGGAAUUCUGAAAUGCAAUAAUAUCACCACUUACAGAAAGAACUAAUGCAUUUUAUUAUUGAAAAUGAACACCCUUAACAUAUUUCUUAAGAAGAUGGCUGGCUCAGGACUCACAAAAACAAAUAACCACACAACAAAUAAAAACAAAAACAGACAAACAGAAAUAAAAAGAGAUUCAAAUGAACAAAGAAAGGUGGGAGAAUUAUGUCAAUAUACAGACAAAAAAAAAUUGUAAAGGAUAUUUUUAGAAGAUUUUAAGCCCAAACCAUGUAA